CUCUCCUCGCUACUGGGAGGCAUUGGCCAUCCUUGGUGUUCCUAGGCUGGUAGCACCUUCGUUCCCCUCUCUGCCUCCCUUGUCACAUGGCAUGUCCCUCUGUGUCUCUAUGUGUCUUUGCUUCCAAACUCCCUUCCCUUAGAAGGGCCUGAUCAUCGGAUUAGGGGCCAUCCUAAGGAUCACGUGGUAACUAGAUCACAUCUUCAAAAGUCCUAUUUCUACACCAGGUCACAAUCACAGAUUCUGGAGGACAGGAUUUGGGAGGAGAAUCUGGUGGCUGCAAUAGCCAGUGUGUGCUUCCAGCUGAGAUUCUAGAACCUCAGACCCUUGGGACAGACCCUUGGGAUAGCCUACAGCAGACAGGUCUGGCUCCCUUGGCCAGUGGUGAGAUUCAGUCCACUGCCAUAGAAGCUGAAGAGUUUUGCUUGAAGGACACCCAGAGGUGGCACCCAUGUCUUCCCAUUUUAUAGCCGAAAACACCAGAUUCCAGGGAAGUUCUUUUCCUGAGUCCCGC
rnacentral:lncRNA from 1 species